CAGUGAUCCUGGCCACUUUCACAUAUAUGUGUGACCCGCUGGGGGGAACAGUGACAAGGAGAGCUGAGUCAGAGAAGGCAAAACUACAAAGAGGAGCAUCCAAUCAAACAACGCAUCCCCAGAUGACUCAUGUACGCAGCAUGCCCUCAGGCCUGCAUCCAACAGAGGCAGAUCCCAGGCCCAUGGGACACCAGGUUUUCCUUGGUGAGGAAGUCAGGCACUGCAGCCUCCAAGCCUCAGGCUCCUCACCUGUUAAAAAGGGAUCAAUCUGCCUGCCCCCAGGAUUUAAGGCAGGCAUGCAUAGUGUCUGGCAGUAGUAGGUGCUCAAGAAAGGUUGUUUAUUUCUCCAUAAGCAGCUUUUAGCGUCACAGCCUACAGCCAGUCAGAUUCUUGCUGUUCUUUUCAAAGGAAGAUUGGCUUUGCCAAAGCUGGGCCUGCCCAAGUGCAUCCGCAGUCACUGGUCUCUGAUGCUGUCCACCUCGGCUUGGAAUAUCUG
ensembl:lincRNA